rnacentral:rRNA from 1 species
GAUGAACGCUGGCGGCGUGCCUAAUACAUGCAAGUCGAGCGAACGGACGAGAAGCUUGCUUCUCUGAUGUUAGCGGCGGACGGGUGAGUAACACGUGGAUAACCUACCUAUAAGACUGGGAUAACUUCGGGAAACCGGAGCUAAUACCGGAUAAUAUUUUGAACCGCAUGGUUCAAAAGUGAAAGACGGUCUUGCUGUCACUUAUAGAUGGAUCCGCGCUGCAUUAGCUAGUUGGUAAGGUAACGGCUUACCAAGGCAACGAUGCAUAGCCGACCUGAGAGGGGGAUCGGCCACACUGGAACUGAGACACGGUCCAGACUCCUACGGGAGGCAGCAGUAGGGAAUCUUCAGCAAUGGGCGAAAGCCUGACGGAGCAACGCCGCGUGAGUGAUGAAGGUCUUCGGAUCGUAAAACUCUGUUAUUAGGGAAGAACAUAUGUGUAAGUAACUGUGCACAUCUUGACGGUACCUAAUCAGAAAGCCACGGCUAACUACGU